rnacentral:rRNA from 1 species
UGCAGAGGGGGCAAGCGUUGUUCGGAAUUACUGGGCGUAAAGGGCGCGUAGGCGGCCCGCUAAGUCGAACGUGAAAUCCCCGAGCUCAACUCGGGAACUGCGUCCGAUACUGGCGGGCUUGAAUCCGGGAGAGGGAUGCGGAAUUCCAGGUGUAGCGGUGAAAUGCGUAGAUAUCUGGAGGAACACCGGUGGCGAAGGCGGCAUCCUGGACCGGCAUUGACGCUGAGGCGCGAAAGCUAGGGGAGCAAACGGG